ensembl:lncRNA
GUCUACUUUCAGGUUCAAGUUGCAGGUUGCAAUUUGUCCAGUGUGUCCCCAUCCCCCCCUCCCUUCAGCACAGAUUCCCUCCAGAUCCCGCCUCCGUGUUUACAUUCCCCUUCUCCAAAUUUGGGCAGUUCAAGGUCGCUGUACUGAGAACUUUUUUUUCUAUUUCCUUGAAAGUGUGUUAUGUGUGCCGCACAGCCCUCGGAUGUGUGCAGCUCGGGUGAAUGAUCCACACUUUCCUGCUCCAAGACGCAUGAGUGCACACUCUCACCCCUACCUGGUGUCAGGCGGGACAGGAUGCGAGGGGGAGGGAGGAAAACGCUUGGAAAGGCGGGGAUUCGCAGUGCGGGGACGGAGGAGUGACAUGAGGGUAAAAGAAAGAGGGCGGGAAUUGGUGGAAGGGGGGGGGCUGUUAGCACCUUCACAGAAAGAAUGUUCUCUGCUUGUCUUCUUCAGACAAUCGAAGCUGCUCUGAGUCUGUUCUGAUCUGCUUUCACUCCCAUCCUCUGUCAUCUGUUUCUCUUUUCCUCCGGAUGCUCCAGCAAAGCCUUCCCAUCCUGUUUCUAUCGCCUGAGCUCCGGACAGGGAAAGUUUCCCCCGACUGCCGGUUUUCCCCACUUCCCAGAACCUGGAAAUGGAAGUUUGCGCCGCCGGCUGAGGAAGAAGAGUAGAGAGGAGGGAGCUUUCCAGUCGUCUAGCCCCAGCAGUCCGGGCCGCAGUGACCGAGCUCCAUCAGCUAGCAGCGACUCGGGUCUGUCUGUAGCCUCGCAGGGACUGAGUGGGGCCCGACAGAGAGGCGAGGCCACACAGGACAAGGGCACCCUCUCAGGGAAGCUGAUCUUCAGGGCAGACCCGGAUCCUGCACAGGCUCUCAUGGAGGUCAUGGCACAGCUAGCUUUAUCCAGCGGAGCAGAGGCGGGCGUGACCAUUAACGGAAAGUCUUCAAGUGAGAGAGAGACAGAUAUACUGGAUGAUGAGGACGAAGCAGAACACGCUGUGGACGGGCCAAGCUCCGGCAGUGGUUGUUCCCUCUCGUCCGAAAAGCUAACCGAGAACUCUACUGGUCGUUGGGUACGUCAGCACCUGGCACCGAGUGCCAGCGAUUGCUUACCCGAAAAGGAUAAAGAAAGAACAACAAAGACCAACAAGCAGCGGCCUCCACAUCUGUUCGGCCCUCACACGCCUCCCCAAGGACUCAGCAGCAGGGAGGUGGUGCACACAGUGUCAGUGGACGGGUUCAAAGAUCAUACACUCACCACCUCACUGGGUCAAGAAGAAGAGUUGGCGGCACUAACUUCAGAUGUCGAUGAGUCCAUAGAGCAGCUGAAUCAGCUGAUUUUGGACUUGGAUCCCACUUUCGUUCCCGUCCCUACCUCCCUGUCCCCCUUGUCACGCACCACCUCCCUACAGAGCAACGGUCUCAGCCACAAAGGAAGCAGCCACCGAUCAGGAUGGAGGCAACAAAAGCAGAUCACUGAUGUGACUGACUACGCUGGGCCUCACAGUCCUCGAUGGAGCCCUGGAGUUCAGAGCCUUAGAGGUUCUGCAGCCAGCAAUCUGCCCUCUCAUCACAGGUAAAUGCCACUCCCCUUUUAUCCCCACCAGCAGUUGAAAACACAUCGUGGAUUGUCAAAUUUCUCCAAAGAAAACAUUUUU